AACAGCGUGGGGAGGGCGGGCCUGGCUGCUCAUUGAGGACCACCUUAGGCUGCUCCCAUCCCUUGGCUAAAGAAAAUAAUUCUGACUCCACUCAGUUUUCUUUAACUGCUCAGUUAUCAUCUGAGAAAACCUCCCCUCUUUACAUUACAGUACCUAGAAGAAUAUUUGGAAUACCAAAGUUUUUUUUUGCAGUGAUUUCUUUUUAUCAUCGAAAUUCUCCACUACCGCUACAAAAAAUAAUCUAAAUUUGAAUCCAUCUGGUUUCAGGAUUGGAAAGCGACUCUCUAAGCAGAUCAAAUAUGUUUAUAAAAGUUCCAUUCUUCAUCUUCGUCCUCGGGAGCCUGCCUUUUGUAGCACUUGCUCAAGAAGCAAGCUCAGUUCUAGAAGGAGAAGAAAGUGCAACAAUUGAUUUCAGAGACAGAAAUGACACAGAAUUUGAAGAAUUACCAACAAUAUUUGGAGACCUGAAGACCACAGAAAGUACCUUAAUCAUGGAUGGAGAAAGUGAAAAUGCUACUGCCUAUGAAGUUAACACAGAAAGUGUUGGUGGUGGGGAGCGGAGUGGGGAACCAGAGACAACUGAGGAAGGUGGUCUGGGAACAAUUGCACUGCUUGGAAUAAUUAUUGGAAUCAUUGUUGCAGUUGGAAUCCUUGCAGGAAUAAUAAUUGCAGUUGUAAGGAAGAUGUCAGGCAGGCCCUAAACACUGUUGAAAAAAGCAUCCAUGCCAUUCCAUGCUGGAAAACACAAGUGCUUCUUAUUUCAUACAAACUAAAGACUGUUCCUGUAUUUGUGUGAGAAGAUGAUCCAUAGAAGAUAUAGUCAAAGAAUUUCAGAUCUGUGGGGAUACCACACAACUUUACACCCCUCCUUGCACAGAGCAUGGAACAUUUCAUAGGAUUUUUUACUAACCAGAAUUUUACUAGAAGAGAGAUUUUGCAGAAAAAAUAAAAAAAAAAAACUGGAGUAAAGGGAUGUACA
rnacentral:lncRNA from 1 species